GAAAAGACUUGCCCUCUCUGUGCUGAAGAGAUGGAUUUGACUGAUCAACAGUUGAAGCCGUGCAAGAACAGUUUCUUCAACGGAGAAAUCCUCAUGAAGAUAAUAAAGUCUUAGAUUUGUGUAGAAUGUCGCAAGGAAAGGUAAGGAAGAUCCAACUGUGAGUUAAAUAAAAAGAACCCUCCAGCGCCGGUGGAAACUGUUUUAAGUGACUGCUCCUCAACUGCGGUUUACCAACCUAAGCCCAAGAGCUGUCGUUACAUUCCGCAAGUGUGUCAUUGUGGAAACCUUGAAGGUGGAUAGCCUGCAGAAGCUUUGUUCAUCUUUGGAACCCAUCCUUCGUUGAGUUGUAAGACACAUCCUCCGUAGAGUUAUUAAUUAAUAUA